AGAGAUUUGUAUCCAUUAUAUUCAGUAGCCUGCAUGUGUCCAAAUCACAAAUGAAAUGAUGUGGGCAAAUAUAAAUUAAAAUUGAAUGUUGCAGAAGUGGUUGAGGAACUUCACCAGGAUACAUUAAUGUACAAACUGAAAACUGAUGAAAGACUUCUGAAGAGAGAUUUGCUAGGAAAAAUAAAAAGAUAUAUAAAUUUCAGUGAUGCUGAAGGAGAGGAAGGAUGUGAUGUCUUUCCCCAUCCGUCAUAAGGGUCAUGGCCAACACUCCUAUAACAAAAGGUUUUGAGAAGCCAUCUGCAGCUCACAACUAGAUGAGUGACACAAUCAGAUGUGCGUAUGCAAAAAAAAGCCUGGAGACAUUGAACUAAGAUCAAAUUUAAUGUAUUAAAUAUGGUAGAAAGAAGAGAGAAUGAAAAAUAAUGUUAACAAUCUAGGUGAGGAAUUGCUGAGGAGACAAAUUAAGUAAAUCCUGUGGAAGGAAAGAAGAAAGGAGGAAAGAGGAUUGGAUGGAAGAAUCUCCACUUCUCAGUAAUUUGUUUAUUUACUUUAUUAGUUUACAUCCAUGUGAUUGGCAUCUAAAUUAUUAUUUUAAAGUUAGAUGACUUUUGCUAAUAUCCUUGUAUUUAAAUUUUUAAAAAUACAUCUUUUUAUUCUUCUA
rnacentral:lncRNA from 1 species